UAACAAAAGAGUUCAGUACAGGUACC
rnacentral:piRNA from 1 species